GCAUUAAUGGGGUAGUGGUAACCUGGGUCGUUGCCAUGGACUGUCAUCAGGAAUCUAGUUUCGACCCGCCGGGGGUUCGAUUCCCCCUUAAUGCA